rnacentral:lncRNA from 1 species
UUUUACAACGAUCAAAGAGAAACAAGGGGGUGGAACCCUUAUACAAGCAGCAUCCUAUAUAAGAAACCCACCAAAAAAACAGCCAUCGAAACCUCCAAAUCAGCCCCUGUACAGUACUACAGCCAACCAAGCAAUUUUAAUCAACAAACAAUUUUAGAGCCAAAUCCUCGAAGGAUUCCACAAACCUAAUAGUUAAAUAUGGGUAAUUUUCAUAAAACAAAAAAAAUAGUCAUUAUGUUCAUAAAUAAUAGCAAUGUGCACGAUGACACAGUGAAAUUCAGUAAUUUCCUAAUUAUUCCACUUUAGUUAAUUGUAAAUCUGUAAGAUUAAAUAGUCAAUAUAGGUACUAACUACUAAGCAGUGACGAAGACAACACAAAACAAAUCCACGAACCAAACCAAGCCUAUGGCUUUUACUCUUCAAAAUCUUAUAAAUACGAUCUUACUUUUUCCAAAUAAAGAUUUGAAUCUAAAUUAAAACUAGGCAUCAUAACAAUUCAAAUUUUAGAAAAUUUAGUCGUUUCACCUCCCCACUUUGAUCCAAAUCCCUAGCUGCCACUUUGAAUUCGAACUUUUUGGGGUCGAAACCUAGGAAAUCACGUCGCCGAAGUCACGUGAGGAGCAGAGGAAAUCAUAAAGGGUGCGAGGACAUCUGUAUACAAAUCUCCGAACUUGUCAUCAUCUUCCAUGAAAGAGAGAGAUAGAGUUUGAUGGGUGCAAUUUCCUGGUUUUGGCUGUUUCAUAUCCCCAAAACUAGCAACACUUCUUGAUUUAGCAAAUCCUAAUUUUGGAGAUCUGAAAUUGGUGAGCUUUAGAUGAGAGAGACAACAAUGGAGAUAACAAUGUUGUAAAUUAAUGGGUAUCUUUGUCUUUUAAUAAUCUGGCGGGGCUGGGGAGAAAUGAAUUGUUUUGGUAUAAAACUUAAUUCUUGAGUAAAUUUAACAGCUAGGCCUGUGGUGUUCGGGUGACCUUUUGACCAAGAUUUCAAAUUGGGGGUUUUGAGUUCAAAUCCCGGGCAGGGCCAGUUUUUUGGCAAAUAAUUAGAACACGUCCACGUCAGCUGAACAUGUGAAAAAUUAAAUGGAAAAUGUACGCGUCAGAUAUGCCACGAAGGCGCCAUGUAUGACACGUCAGUAGGUCAACGCCAAUGUGGCACUUGGGGGGCACAAUAUCCAAAUUUUCGAACAGAAAGGGGCUCGAUAUGCGUUGACCAAAAGAAAAGGGCUUAAUGCCCAAAAACACCUAAAGUUCAGGGGCAACAUAUGCAUUUUACCCAUUUUCCAAGUGGGGUUGCCCAAGUUGUGCUGUUUUUGGCAGCCACGAUAUUGCUAGUAAUUUAUAGCUGAUUUUGCUUGUGCUCACAUGGAUGCAGCCACGAUAUUGCUAGUCAUUUUCUGCUUCCAGCCCAUUGCCGCAUGUGAUUUUUUGCUCUUUGCUUGAGGGUCUUUGUGCAUUUGGUCGCACAUUGCUGCUGUUCUUGGUGUGUGGGGCAGAGUGUCUUGCUUUGUCUCCUUGGUGCACCAUUUUUUUCCUGUUUUGGUUGCUGUUAAUUUGUUUGAAUGGGUGACUUUUGGGUCCCACGGAUUCUUCUCACUCUGGCUGUUUUUUGGUGCGCCCACAUGGGCUAAUUGUUGCUGAUUACUGCACAUCCCCACGUUAUUUGUGGGUUGUUGUGCUUCAACUGGUUUUAAUGUAAUUUGCAGCCUCACGUGGGUCCUUGUUUGCUGCGUUGUUGCUUAUUUAUGACGGUAUUUUGGUCCCACGUGGGUCUGGGUUUUCAUGCUUUGGGACCCGAUUUGGUUGGAUUUCAGUUCUUGUUUGCAUUGUGUUUGGUUCCUCCAUUCCGUUUUAUAUGGCGGAAACAAACUAGUGUUGCUUUGUUUUACUUUGCUAUCUUGUUUCAUCCAUUGUGUUUCAAGUUGGUAUGCGAGACAUCUAUAC